rnacentral:misc_RNA from 1 species
GAUGAAGAACGCAGCGAAAUGCGAUACGUAAUGUGAAUUGCAGAAUUCAGUGAAUCAUCGAGUCUUUGAACGCACAUUGCGCCCCCUGGUAUUCCGGGGGGCAUGCCUGUCCGAGCGUCAUUGCUGCCCUCAAGCACGGCUUGUGUGUUGGGCCUCCGUCCUCCUCCCGGGGGACGGGCCCGAAAGGCAGCGGCGGCACCGCGUCCGGUCCUCGAGCGUAUGGGGCUUCGUCACNNGCUCUUGUAGGCCCGGCCGGCGCUUGCCGACACAUCAAUCUUUUUUCCAGGUUGACCUCGGAUCAGGUAGGGAUACCCGCUGAACUUAAGCAUAUCAAUAAGCGGAGGA